rnacentral:rRNA from 1 species
UGGGUGGAAAGUUUUUCGGCUGGGGAUGGGCUCGCGGCCUAUCAGCUUGUUGGUGGGGUGAUGGCCUACCAAGGCGACGACGGGUAGCCGGCCUGAGAGGGCGACCGGCCACACUGGGACUGAGACACGGCCCAGACUCCUACGGGAGGCAGCAGUGGGGAAUAUUGCACAAUGGGCGAAAGCCUGAUGCAGCGACGCCGCGUGAGGGAUGACGGCCUUCGGGUUGUAAACCUCUUUCAGCUCCGAAAAAGCGCAAGUGACGGUAGGAGCAAAAAAAGCACCGGCUAACUACGUGCCAGCAGCCGCGGUAAUACGUAGGGUGCAAGCGUUGUCCGGAAUUAUUGGGCGUAAAGAGCUCGUAGGCGGUGUGUCGCGUCUGCUGUKRAAACUCAGGGCUCAACUCUGAGCUUGCAGUGGGUACGGGCACACUUGAGUGCUGUAGGGGAGACUGGAAUUCCUGGUGUAGCGGUGAAAUGCGCAGAUAUCAGGAGGAACACCGGUGGCGAAGGCGGGUCUCUGGGCAGUUACUGACGCUGAGGAGCGAAAGCAUGGGGAGCGAACAGGAUUAGAUACCCUGGUAGUCCAUGCCGUAAACGUUGGGCGCUAGGUGUGGGGUCCAUUCCACGGAUUCCGUGCCGCAGCUAACGCAUUAAGCGCCCCGCCUGGGGAGUACGGCCGCAAGGCUAAAACUCAAAGGAAUUGACGGGGGCCCGCACAAGCGGCGGAGCAUGCGGAUUAAUUCGAUGCAACGCGAAGAACCUUACCAAGGCUUGACAUGCGCGGUGGAAUCCCAGAGAUGGGGUGUCAUUUAGUUGGUCGCGUACAGGUGGUGCAUGGUUGUCGUCAGCUCGUGUCGUGAGAUGUUGGGUUAAGUCCCGCAACGAGCGCAACCCUCGUUCCAUGUUGCCAGCACGUAGUGGUGGGGACUCAUGGGAGACUGCCGGGGUCAACUCGGAGGAAGGUGGGGAUGACGUCAAAUCAUCAUGCCCCUUAUGUCUUGGGCUUCACGCAUGCUACAAUGGCCAGUACAGAGGGCUGCGAUACCGUGAGGUGGAGCGAAUCCCAAAAAGCUGGUCUCAGUUCGGAUCGGGGUCUGCAACUCGACCCCGUGAAGUCGGAGUCGCUAGUAAUCGCAGAUCAGCAACGCUGCGGUGAAUACGUUCCCGGU